GCACAAUGGAGGAAACUCUGAUGCAGCGAUGCCGCGUGAGUGAAGAAGGCCUUUGGGUUGUAAAGCUCUUUCGUCGGGGAAGAAAAUGACUGUACCCGAAUAAGAAGGUCCGGCUAACUUCGUGCCAGCAGCCGCGGUAAUACGAAGGGACCUAGCGUAGUUCGGAAUUACUGGGCUUAAAGAGUUCGUAGGUGGUUAAAAAAGUUGGUGGUGAAAGCCCAGAGCUUAACUCUGGAACUGCCAUCAAAACUUUUUAGCUAGAGUAUGAUAGAGGAAAGCAGAAUUUCUAGUGUAGAGGUGAAAUUCGUAGAUAUUAGAAAGAAUACCAAUUGCGAAGGCAGCUUUCUGGAUCAUUACUGACACUGAGGAACGAAAGCAUGGGUAGCGAAGAGGAUUAGAUACCCUCGUAGUCCAUGCCGUAAACGAUGUGUGUUAGAUGUUGGAAAUUUAUUUUCAGUGUCGCAGCGAAAGCAAUAAACACACCGCCUGGGGAGUACGACCGCAAGGUUA
rnacentral:rRNA from 1 species